AUUGACCGCUGGCGGCAGGCCUAACACAUUCAAGUCGAGCGAGCGGCGGACGGGUGAGUAAUGUAUGGGGACUGCCCGAUAGCGGGGGAUAACUACUGGACACGAUGGCUAAUACCCCAUACUAUCGGAUAACCCAUAUGUGAUUAGCUAGUAGGUGGGGUAAAGGCUCACCUAUGCGACGAUCUCUAGCUGGUCUGAGAGGAUGAUCAGCGACACUGGGACGGAGACACGGCAAAGAGUCCUACGGAGGCAGCAGGGGGGAAUAUUGCACAAUGGGUGAAAGCCUGAUGCAGCCAUGCAGCGUGGAGGAAGAAGGCCUUAGGGUUGUAAAGUACUGUCAGAGGGGAGGCGUUACCCGCAGAAGAAGCACCGGCUAACUCCGUGCCAGCAGCCGCGGUAAUUC
rnacentral:rRNA from 1 species